GAUAGAGGCUGCCAAAGGUUAGAUCUGAUUUGCAGAGCUCAGCGUAAACAAGCCGGUCACAGCGAGCCAAGUCAACCUGCCAUCCAAAGAAGAACAGGAGUGAAAGCAGCACUGGGAGACAAGCCUGCAGUCUCUGUAAGCUGCUGUAAUCAGUGACACUGAGAUGGGAUUGUGCAGAUGUAAGAUGGAGGUCUUGCGCCAUAAACAAAAAGGUCAUCAAAAGGUAAUAUUUAAUCUUACCACUAUGUUCUUAUUUGUGACUGUGUUGGGUAAACAGUUGGUGUCUCAGGAGGGAAUCGGCAUCAGGCUGCAGAAGUUCAAAGGCAAUUCAAGGGUCAUGGGAUGGAGAAGGCAGGAGGCAGGAGGGGAUUUGGUUGGGACAGGACUCUUGUUGUCCCCAGCUGUCCUGUCUCAUGUCAGUCCUGACCAAAGGGCAGUCCCAGGUCAGAGGGUCAGAGAGAAGAAAGGAAAGAGAAAGAAGAGGGGGUUCAAAUACGGGCUGUGGACCGGAGGAGUCUGGAGGAGGGGUGGAGUCUGUGUGCAUGUGUGUGUUUUGUGACAGCACACACCGUCACCCCCUCCUCUGUUCUCAUACACACACACACAGGGACAGCGUGACCAGACGUCCCUUUGGCCUCUGAUAUAUUUAUAUGCUCGGAGCAGUCUCUGCUCGGAGAGGGAGACCCACGAGAUGCACCUGAGCAAAUAUUAACAUCCUCCAUAAGGAGCCUUUGAUGUGCAGGGGCCAGAGCCUGGGGUCGGCACCCCUCAGCAGGCUGGGCUCGGAGCGCAGGGUCUGCAGAGUCAAUAGAGAUGUGGGAAGAUACUGAGGAGCAGACGGGUCAGACUCUCAGCCAGACAUGAAGGCUGUGCAGCACAUUUUAGGGUCAGGGGAAAUCUGUAUCCAAACUACAAGGUUUCUUCAAGGGAAUUUAUUUAGAAGUGUGAUUCAGAGAGAAAAACACGCUCAGUGACCGAUUAAACACAUUCAAAUGUCAAAACAGUGUGCAUCAAACACAAUGCCUUUGAUUGAACUGAAGAAAAACUUGCUCUCAUGACAGUUUUAAGGCAAUUCUUAAAAAUCUGUUUCAUUCUUACAAAGGCCACUCUCAGCAUGGGGAAUUCUGUCUCUCCACCCUCACUGAACGACUAUUGAAAGUUCAUAAAACUCAACAGCACUCAAAAAAAAGAAAAAUCCACAACUUAUUUGAAAGAGGAAAAAAGAUUAACUUCCAGAGACUUAAGUGUCUUCACUGCUAAAUCCCUGUUCAAACGUUGAGAAGAGACUUGAGGGAAAUAAAUAUAUAAAGUCAUCCAAGAACGAGGCUAAGUGGUUUAUCUCCUUUCAUCUUGCCACCGCUGUAUGAGGACUAAUCCUGCCUUGUGUCUUCAGCACCAAGCCGGGCCCCUCUGAACUACAUUAAAUAGAAUAGAUUAGCUCCUCCAAAAAGUCACGAGGUGGCAUUUCAGAAUCUGCCUUGUUUUUUUUGGUGCCAUAGAUAGUGGAUGGCAUGAGCCAGUAUUUGUGCUCAGCUUUGUCUCUGGGUGUGAAGCUGACAUCUGAACUCUCUAGCGAGGAGAGUUUUGCUGACGAUAAGGGACCAUUGAUUGUCUUUUAGUUUGCAGGUUUAUUCCAAGCCGGAAAAAUCUGUGUGUGACACUUUCUUUGUGUGUUUGUGUCUGAUAUCUGUGUUUGUGGACAGUCGUGUGAGGAUUGAUAAAGCUUGUGAAUCCAUCAACAAACCAUCAUGUGCAGGAGCAUUGUUCUUCAUCUCUUUGCCACAUUGUCCAUUCCUCUAGACGAAGAGGACAAUUUACCGCAGGAAGCCCAGUGUGGGUGUGUAAUGCAAUUAAAAGACUCCUUCAUUUUGUUUGAUCUGCUUCAUUUCAUUUGGUCUUACUAAUUUGGAAGAGAAAUCAGAUAAGGCACAGCCAUCAUGUGUUUUCACAUCAAAAGUGGUGGACGACAAUGUUUCCACUAUGUUUCCUCUUCAUCUCCUUUUGGAGACUUCUGAGGGCAGCAGUGAUUAGAUCAUCUGCAGAGCUCCAGACAAUGAGCUAUUGUGGCGAGAAGCAGCCAUAAAUUGGACUUGUCAAAGCGAUCUAGUUAAGACUAGAUCAAAGACUUCACUGAAUACUACUACCUCUCCAUCUAAGUAGACUUGUUUAUAUCUACUAAUUUCUCCCUUUUUAUUACUGCAGAGAGGAAGUGUGAGUUUAUGGGCAGAAGGUGUCCUCCCAGACCUGAAAUUACAAAUUCAGAGCUCCAGAGUGUAUCCGAGGACAAAAACCCAGGCAGAGUAUUUUAAAGUACAUUUUUUGUAUAUGUUUAAGAAGUACAUCCAUUUUUGUGGGUAUAUACAGUAUGUGCUCAUGCAGCCAAGGAGGUGUGCUGAAGGCUCUCCAGAUGCACUGGUUUAGUGGAAGUAUUAACAAGACCACAGCUAUUCCAGAUAUGCCCAAACCAAACAAGAGGAGCUGCAAAAGAGCCGGCUGCACACACAGAGCUCCCAAAUAAAGGGCAGAGGAGAUGAAAAGGGAAGGUAGACACAGAUUUCCCCAUUAUUCCUCUAAUCUAGUGUCAGAUCAGGGCUAGCAGCAUGGAUUGGAAGAAAGCUGUUCCCAUUUCAGGGAAAAUCAUGAGGUUAUGAUUUGCUGAAUGAUGUUUCCCCUGUUUCCCAUAUCUUAUUGAUUUGGAGAAAGCAUCCAUCAGUGUGUCAAAAUAUUGGCAGUGUGAUGAUAUUUAUAACAAUCAUAAAUCUUGUUGCUUCAUUUUAGCACGCCUGUGGUACAGUACAUCAUGCAGCACCUCAGGGUUUGGAAGACUGAUAGAGAUGCAUCAAGACGGCAUGUAUAUGUAUCUGCGUCCAGUUACAGUAUGUGACAGGCUGAACAGCCUCUGCUGGCAAUGUUUAGAACACAACAUGAGUAUAUGGCAGCAAGGUAGGGAGUGAAAUCCUUGAUAUGGCUCAUUUUACAGGUACAUCACUGCUAUAACAUCACAGAAACACUUUACACAGGUAAACAAAACUGUUCAAUCUCUUUGAAGCUCCCUUGAGGAGUUUUUAGUUGGUUGUAAAACAAACAGGCCUAAAAAAAAACAAAAAACUAUCAGCUAGAGGAGGGAUUUUUCUGUCUACUAGUUUUUGAUGUCUUGAACUACCAGUAUGAAUGCUUCAGCAGGUGCAUCCUUCACAGCCCCAUAUCCCAUGAUUCUUUGCACACUAAUGCAAUUUAAACAGCAUACACUGAAGACUGUGGAGUCAUACACUGUUAGAUAAUGAUAGUGUCCACUGAGCUGUACAAAUAAGAUGGAAGAAAGACACACUGAAAUUGUCCUUGAAAUGUUUUUGAUGGUGUUUACGUCACUCAAGCUAUGCUCCCAAUGUUGGCUAAAUCAAAUUAGGCAGCCAAAUCAGUGUCAUUUUCAUAUACUGUCUUAAACAACACUUUAAAACAGGAUUUUAUAUUGAGUUUGUUCAGAAUCUUUCGAAAAAUGUGAUUGAUGACACUUGGUUUUUCAAAACCUGAUGGUGUAGUUUGUAUUUCUGAUGGUUAUUGCGUUCUUUUAUUCAAUUUGUACUUACACGACUCAUUUAAUCACAUAACUGUCUGCUUUUUUAUUUGUUCUGUUGUCUACUGGAAAGCACUUGUCAGACUAAUUUUCAUUAAAAAAGGGGUCUGCUAAUAGAGUUGUAGUUAUUGUAGUAAUUAUAAAUAAUGAAACAGCUUACUGGCCUCAGAUCGUCCUAUAGCCCCAUGCAUGAAUAAAAAACACCCAGUAGACCCCCUUAGUCAACUUUGCAGAGAUGUAUAAUGUUAAUGUGUGAGGUUAAAAGAGAACUAAAAAAAAAACUCCCUGGGGCAACAGUAUUACUAUCAGAGCUGCAGUCGUGCUUUGCAACAGUGUAAGGACUCGCCUGCUGUUCUGUUGUGAUGUGUGUAAACAGGGUCCAGUAGUGGACUUCUAUCUGUCUGCACAAACACAUUUGUGGCAGCAUCAAAUAAGGGCCAGAGCUGGAGUGCAGGACGCGUUAUUUAAUAAUUAAUCAAGGUGCAGUUCAAGGCACGUAAUCUGAUGAAAGUGCCGUCUGUCAGGCAAAAUUAAGCCCUUCUAUCGUUUCAUUAUUGUUGUUAGUUUAGGCUGAUCUCUCUGUCAUUUCUCGGCCCCUCUCUCCCUCCUUUCCUCCAUCCUUCUUGCCCCCUCUCUCCUCUUCUUAUCAUAAGUUUGAGGUUGUCAAUGUGUCAAUUAAAACCAGCCACGGCGUGUUGUUUCAUCGUGCGGCAUGUUUGAUGUCUCAGUAUAAAAGUGCUUUGAAAUCUGUUUACUUUGCCUUUGCUUUGCUCUUUCUUCAGCACUCUUCUUCUCACUGCCUGCUAUGCUGUGGGCUCCUCUUAUCUUUUGUGGCUUGGAAUUAAAGCAUGGAGGAAAACACAACAAAGGUGUGCAGGAGUACUGAUGAUGUCAUGUGUGGAUAAUGAUGAGCUAAAGUCAAUAAAGAGCAGGAAGGUAACUAUGGCUCAUGUUACAUUGUUCACUCCUGUCACCCAGAUUAACAGAACUGUGGGUGUGCUUAAAACACACCUACUGUAGAACAUAAAGCAUGUCUUACUUUGUUGUUUUUGUCUGUGUUUCCUGAACCUCAUUAAAUAUGUUCACUCUAAUACAUGUGGUCAAAUUGCUCUCUGGAAGGCAAGCAUGAUUAUCAUAAAGGUGACUUCACAUGAAUGCCCACUUAGGACUUUAAUAGCAUACAAUAGUAACUCUUUUCAUAGAGGUUGAUUUAUCAGGGAACUGUAUGAGAUUUGGUCAGGUAGCCUUAUUCUAGUCAUUAACAUUAAGAAAACAAUAGAACAAUAAUAAUAAUAAUAAUACUAAUAAUAAUUAUUAUUAUUAUUAUUAUUAUUAUUAUUAUUAUUGUUGUUGUUGUUGUUGUUGUUGUUGUUGUUGUUGUUGUUGUUAUUAUUACUACUACUAUUAUUAUUAUUAUUAUUAUUAUUAUUAUUAUUAUUAUUAUUAUUAUUAUUAUUAUUAUUAUUAAUGUUAUAUUGAUUGAUUAAUUAAUUAAUUAAAUUUUUAUGGAGUGUCCAUGAUCUUCAGAGAGAAUUAAAUUAAAAGCCCAGUCAAGUUUUUGGUGGAUUGGUUGGAAGUUUACAUAUCUAUCCCUCUUUGAAAAGGGCGGCUGUGUGGCUUAGUGGUAGAGUCAGUCAUCUCCCAAUCGGAGGCUUGAAGUUCAAUCUCAGGUCCUGCUGUUUGCAUGCCUUGGGCAAGACACUUGGGUUCAGUCAAAAACCGAUGGGCUUUGCACACAACAGCCCCUGCCAUUAGUGUGUGAAUGUGGUGAGAAUGGGUGACUGUGACAUGUAAUAUAAAGCGCUUCAGAGUUUUAUUGUCCUGUCCCAUCUUUUUUUUUUUUUUUUGUGGACAUGUUGAUGGUAUCAGAUUUACAUUGAGCAUGUGUUUUUCAUUUCAUUUCAUUUACCAAUAACAUACUUUAGUGUCGACAUCUUACAUGCUGUCUUAAAGGUUUAAAUGAUUCAGUUCAUUACUGAGAUAUGUAACUUGUAAACCACUGGCUACAUGAAGAACAAUGGCCCUCAUUUAUCAAUCUUGCGCAGAUCUGAGCUCAGGAUUCAUCGUACAAUAGGGCACACGUGAGAUUUAUGAAAGGGUUCAUAUCUGACCAAUCCCAGCGUACGUAUGAUCAGGUCUUGAGAAAUGCGGCGGCUGAAAUUGAUCAUCAUUAACAUGUUUACGCCCUUAAAUAUUUGUGAUUCAGAAGCCUCGCCCACUGAGGUCAAACAUGAAAGAGGAGAAAUAUUACAAAGAUUCUAAACUUUUCCGAGCUGAAAGUGGUUAUCCUCACAUCUGUGGUGGAAACUAACAAGGAUUUUCUCUUUUGGAAGCAUCAAAACUGGUAUAAAAGCAGUCCCGAAAACUCCUGUCUGGAGCAGGAUUAAGGUGGCGGUGAACAGCGCUGCUGCGGAAUAGCAGACAGUGGCUGAAGUUUGAAUAAAUCAUUAGUCAAUAAGUUGCUCAUGAUGAUAAAUUAAUAUCUCAUACGUGCCUCAUAUUUUUUUAUUGACAUGACAAAGGGUACGUUGCUCCUACUAUUGAAAGUAUUUAGUUUUAAUUUGUUGCGUCUUUGUAAUGUAGAGCAAACUGGAGAGUCUGACAGAGGCUGAACAAAAAUAAUUAUUAAUGUCACCAAACGGUGUGUUGCUGCCCCUGAGGCACAUUUUUAUGGAUUUCUAUUGGAUUUUUAUCACUGAUUAAAUAGCAAGAGCACUUUCUAAACUUAUACUUUACAUGUCAGAAUGCAUUGAUAAGGUCCUGUCUCCUCUGUACAGCACCUUUGUGGAGUCUCUCCUCGUUAUUGUUCUCCGGGCAUCGGGUCCUCCCGUUGCACCGGCACAGCCAACGGCACUCCAUUCACCAGAGCAACAUUGUACAAAACUGUACUGGCCCAAAUGAUGUCCCACACCCUUCCAGGAGUGUACAACAACGUCCCCGCUGCUGGGCCAAGACAGAGACACCUGCCUUUUAGGAGUCAAACGCAGCGCUCCACAGUGGCACGUGUGUGCGCAGUGUUAAAACGGCGCUCCUGCUCUGUGGCAGUGUUUCUGGGCAGAGUUAUCAAAUAGGCCUAUUCACUAAGGACAUUACAAAUUUAUUUAAUUUUAUUUACGUCUUAAUCUUCAAUGAAAACUGUCUAAUUGUGCUUAAUGACAGGUUUGAGGUUUGUAUAUCAAUUAUUUUGAGACACAUUUGCUGCACCGCAGAUCCACACUGACUCAAACUUGCGUACACGAUGUCAGACCUGUCGUGAGAUUUGGUCAAAGCGUACACUCACGUGUAGAUUGAUAAAUGCCAUAUCCUCACGUCAAAAUUUUCGUACACAAGGUGUACUCAAGUUUUCUGCUGUACGCAAGCUUGAUAAAUGAGGGCCACUGUGUCCAAAGGCCUUCCUCAUUCUUUUGGUUAUUUGAGGGAGCUGCUUGUUUUCCAUGUUGAAUGCAUAUUUGUUUCUCUAACAUGCACCGGUUAAGGACAAGCUACCAUGUUUAUAGGGGAAAGUACAAGAAAUGACUUAGAAAAGGCCCACUUCUCUGUUAUUUUUUAUAGUUCUUUUAUAAUAUUGAAAAAAAUUGUCCAUGAAGACUUUUGUAGCAAAAGUUCUGCUUUUGUGGGCCAUUAUCUAAGAUGUGUCCCCCAGUUAUUUAGGCAUAUAUAUUUAACUGGAGUGAAUAAAACUUGGAUACAAACACUAACCUAAAAAUAUGUCUUUACUGUCCAAACUCACACAACAGUUACCUUAUCUGGCUUUUCAAACAGCAACUCUUCUGUUGUUGUGUUAAAUGUCAUAACCGAGAGUGACAGAUUACAUUAAAAAAGUUCAGAGAAAUGUUCUUAAAAGAAAAGAGCACCAAUCCUCCAUCACCACCAUCCAUUAACAUCAACCCUUGGCUCUGAACUUGAAAGCUUUAAUGAAUAAGUCUUUCAUCGACAGGUGUAUAAAACUCCACCUUUAACAUUCCUAAAUACCACACGUGAGUGUUUGGGUCUGAGCUUUGUUCAUGUCAGCUCAGCUCAAAUUGUUUGCAGUAUGUUUGUAUCAUAACCAUAUGCCCAUAUAGUGCAUUCCUUACUGCCCACACAAACAGCUCUCAGGCAUAUUUGACUCCACAAACCUCAAGCUGAACUGACAUGAACAAUAUGUGUAAGAUUGAGUCUGUUCUUCUGGAGCCCUUCUUUAGCUGAAUACCACAGGAGGAAGAUUACUGCUUCCCGAGACGUGAAUCAAACUUUUUACUUUACAUAAAAACUCCCCUAGAUAAAAACAACAGCCAGCCAAGAAUGUCUUAAUCUGUCCAAACAGCUUUAAGUUUUAGUGCCUCCUCGUGUGAACCUGAAGCAUCACUGUAAAUGCACUGAGAUCUAAAAGGCAAAGAUUCAAAAAUAAUACGGCUUCAAUAUGAAAUGAAAUGAAUGAUUCAAGGAAAUGACCUUUAGGUAAUAACACUUUCACACUUUUGCUUGUGUAAAAGGUGCUUUUGGUAGAGUUCAGACCCCAACAUGUACCUUUAUGGAUGCAGAAGUAAGGAUCGCCAUCCUCACUAAAGAAACAAGCCUUGUUUUAUAACAAAAAUGAUACUUUAUUCUAUCCAUCUUUCCAUUCAGAUGCAUUUUUUUUCUGUUAGUUUCCGCUUUCUGACCCCAGAGUUGUUUGUUUUCUACACUGUGGUCUCCAUGAGCUUGUUUUAUAUGCUUGUAAGCUUUACCAGGGAACUGGUGCUUUUUAUCGUUGGGGCCAGGGAUGCCAUACAGGGCAGACAAGUCAGGUCCUGAAUAAAUCAGAGCAUUAGUUAUUAUUGGUAUCAUCACUAUUAGAUCACAUAACUAAUCAUUAUGAGGCCAUGCUAUCUAGCUGUGGCUGCUGGUCUUAAAAUUGUUGAUGCAGCUUGAAAAGCCAUAUUAUGUGACUCCAGAUUAUGCCAGUAUAGCAAUUCUCAUCAAGUUGACAGGGAUGCUAACUUUGAUCAGUUUUACCCUAUUUUCAAUGUGACAUGCUUCCAAAUUAUUCCAAAUAAAUGUUUUGAAUCGACAAGUCCUUGUGGUAUCCAAGCUGUGUUUCCUCCAAAAAGCAAACAUGGUAAAAAAUUAUUUCAAAAUUAUUUGGACAAUCUGUCCCUUGUGUCUUAAAUCCUCCUAGGUCAUUAAAAAAAAAAAAAAAAAAAAAAAAAAAAAGCUGCAACUCUGGAUUUCAUCUACAUUUGUAGAUUUCACCUACAUAGAUUUUAGUAUUAUACAUCAUUAGGGACGUAACGAUACACCCAACUCCCGAUUCAAAACAAUUUCCGAUUCUGGGUUGACGGGUUAACAGAAUUAGUGAUGACAAAUAAUGACUGAAAAAGAUUCCUUUAAUUAUUUCUCAGAGAAAAAAAAUAAAAAAUUUCUAUGGUAGGGUGCAUUUUCAAAACAAACUAUGCAAUGAAUGCUUAUGUAAAAAAAAUAUCUAUUAUUUAGGUAUAUAACUGCAAAUUAUAUUGUCUCUUAUCUUUAACAAAUUAAAGAGAACCCUCUUUUUAUUUCUCUGAGGUACAGUAAACUGUAAGACAAUGCAUUUGUCCUCCUAUUAAAGUGCAUUAAACAACAAUGGGGGUGGGGGGUGGGGGGGUGUUUAUGGUGUCUAUGGUUUGGUGUACAUGUAUGCAAAGUUCAAAGCAGAAGAUAGAUGUAUUUUGUCAUAAUCUUUAAAAGUAAAUGUAAUCUGAUCAAAUCGCGGACAACUACGUGAAAAUGUGAGACCGUAGUUUAUGUGCGAGAUUUACUAAAAUUCUUAUGUAAGAAUUAAAGACUCUCCUUACUGGUUCAGUGGGUCAUCUAUGUUUCCACCAAAGUGGGACGAGACAGAGGCCAAGAGACAGAAGCCAAAAUGAAGCGUUCCAGAUGGAAGCUGGAAUAAUGUUUUAAAACACCACUGUGAGAAAUUUGAGGCUUUUUUAUCUGAAAAUCACAUAAAGUUAUUAAAGAAGAAUCAGAGAGGAAACAUAGAAUCUUAAAUCCUCUUCCUACAUAGCAACAAUGGUAUUGUUUAGCCUUGUUUUUAUGUUCACUGCAGUUUAUUGCAUAAUCAAGGUUGUGAAAAUGUCAAUACAUAUAGAUUCACAGCUGAUCUUAAAUAAUACAGCGUACUAACCCCUCGAAUGAGGUGCAGGCAUAUGUACAAAGGUGUCAAAUAGCCAAUAUUUACUGGCUGGUUUCACAAGAGCUCCUGUGCAUGAAAGAUUAGUAAAAAGGUGACUUUAGUUUGUUGGAUUAUAACAUAAGUAUUAUUUUCUGUGCGUAUUCCUGGAGGUAAUUAUCUACACUGGUACUUUAGUUUGUGGUCUGCUGAUUUCUCAUCAGUAUUUCUUCCAAAAUGUUGCAUUCAUCUCUGCACAGAUUUCUUCUGUAGUUUUGUUUUGAUGUGGUUUGUGGUAACAAAUUGCGGCCUGAAACCCUGUCACCCGUGCCUGAGAUAGUUUAUCUACUUUUACUGAUGUAGAUUUAUGACUUUGAUUAAAUUGCAUUCAGUAUUACUUUUUUUUUUCUUGCUCUCUCCCACCAGUCUCUCCAUCACCCUUCCCUGUGACUUGGGUUCAGAGGCGGAACAGGAGAAUGUGGGGACCUUAUAUUGAACAGACAAUGUGGGCCUGACUGUGUGACUGUGCUGCUCUUUUUCAGCUGCCCUCAUGAUGUUUUAUGGGAAGCUAGCCUUACUUUGCAGAGUCAUCAAAGGCUGGGUUUAAAAUAGAAAAUCAGAUAACAUGUAAAAGGCAUUCAGAGUGUGCCUGUGAUCUCUAGGCAAGAUUCAUGAUUUACAUGUGUAGGUUUCCACUAAGAAGUGAAAAAUUGCGUAUUAUAGCUGAGUAAAAGCUGCAGCUAUUUCAAAUGGACCUUGUGACGGUUUCUUAAGCAUAAACACUGGUUAACAUGUUACAUAGGAACUCUAAUGUUUGCACCUUGAAGAAGG